GGUUGGGAUCUAUGGACCUUCCGCUCGGGGAUGAAAUCAUGUCCUAUUAGUUAGUUGGUGGGGUAACGGCUUACCAAGACGAUGAUGGGUAGCGGGCCUGAGAGGGUGAACCGCCACACUGGGACUGAGACACGGCCCAGACUCCUACGGGAGGCAGCAGUGCUGAAUCAUUCGCCAAUGCGCGAAAGCGUGACGGUGCGACGCCGCGUGAGGGAUGAAGGCCUUCGGGUUGUAAACCUCUGUCAGGAUCUAGAAAACCGUAGUCGUUAAUAGCGGCUACGUUGAUCAGAUUCAGAGGAAGCACAGGCUAAUCUCGUGCCAGCAGCCGCGGUAAUACGAGAUGUGCGAGCGUUGUUCGGAAUUACUGGGCGUAAAGGGUGCGUAGGCGGUUUAGUAAGUCAGGUGUGAAAACCCUCGGCUCAACCGGGGAAUUGCUCUUGAUACUGCUAAACUUGAGAUCGGAAGGGGCAAGUGGAAUUCCAGGUGUAGCGGUGGAAUGCGUAGAUAUCUGGGAGAACGCCAACGGCGAAGGCAGCUUGCUGGUCCGUUUCUGACGCUGAGGCACGAAAGCUAGGGGAGCAAACAGGAUUAGAUACCCUGGUAGUCCUAGCCGUAAACGAUGGGUACUAGGUGCCGGGAUCUCUGACGAUCUCGGUUCCGUAGUUAACGCGUUAAGUACCCCGCCUGGGGAGUAUGGUCGCAAGGCUGAAACUCAUAGGAAUUGACGGGGGCUCACACAAGCGGUGGAGCAUGUUGUUUAAUUCGAAGCAACGCGAAGAACCUUACCUAGGCUUGAAAUGCUAGUGGUACGAACCCGAAAGGGCGAGGACUCUUUUACGAGAGAGCUAGCACAGGUGCUGCAUGGCUGUCGUCAGCUCGUGUCGUGAGACGUUGGGUUAAGUCCCGUAACGAGCGAAACCCUUGUCGUCUGUUGCUACCAGGUUAUGCUGGGCACUCUGGCGAGACUGCCGGUGUUAAACCCGGAGGAGGCGGGGACGACGUCAAGUCAUCAUGGUCCCUUACGUCUAGGCUACAACGUGCUACAUGCAGUACAGAGAAGAGCAAGACCGUGGAGGUGGAGCAAUCUUCAAAACCCUGCCCAGUUCAGAUGAGCUGCAACUCGCCUCAUGGAGUGAAUCGCUAGUAAUUCCGGGAUCACGAGCCCGCGUGAAUACGUUCCUGACCUUGAGACAACACACUGGCGUCCGCGU
rnacentral:rRNA from 1 species